UACGAAGGGGGGCUAGCGUUGCUCGGAAUCACUGGGCGUAAAGCGCACGUAGGCGGAUUGUUAAGUCAGGGGUGAAAUCCUGGAGCUCAACUCCAGAACUGCCUUUGAUACUGGCGAUCUCGAGUCCGGGAGAGGUGAGUGGAACUGCGAGUGUAGAGGUGAAAUUCGUAGAUAUUCGGAAGAACACCAGUGGCGAAGGCGGCUCACUGGACCGGUAUUGACGCUGAGGUGCGAAAGCGUGGGGGAGCAAACAGG
rnacentral:rRNA from 1 species